GCAUCAGUGGUUCAGUGACAGAAUACUCGUCUUUCAUGCAGGAGACCUGGGUUUGAUUCCUGGUGGAUACA
rnacentral:tRNA from 1 species